GACGAACGCUGGCGGCGUGCUUAACACAUGCAAGUCGAACGGUGAAGCGCCUUCCUUUUUGGUGGGUGUGGAUGAGUGGCGAACGGGUGAGUAACACGUGAGUAACCUGCCCCCUUCUUCUGGAUAACCGCAUGAAAGUGUGGCUAAUACGGGAUAUUCUGGGUCUGUCGCAUGAUGGGUCUGGGAAAGAUAUUGUUUCGGUGGGGGAUGGGCUCGCGGCCGAUCAGCUUGUUGGGGGGGUGAUGGCCUACCAAGGCGGUGACGGGUAGCCGGCCUGGGAGGGUGGACGGUCACACUGGGACUGAGACACGGCCCAGACUCCGACGGGGGGCAGCAGUGGGGAAUAGUGCACAAUGGGCGCAAGCGUGAUGCAGCGACGCCGCUGGAGGGAUGGCGGCGUGCGGGUUGUGAACCUCUUUCGCCAGUGAAGCGGUCUUGCCUGGUUUGUGGGUGGGUUGACGGUAGCUGGAUAAGAAGCGCCGGCUAACUACGUG
rnacentral:rRNA from 1 species